CUGCCUUAUAUUUUUUUUAAGUUGUCUGCAUUUGCAUCAAAAUUGCCAAAGCAAUGAGGAAAUGAUUUCCAAGUGAAUAGUCUAUGUUCUAUAAGUUUGAAUUCAAUGGCAAGCUAGAAAUACUGUGUUAAGGACUAAAGGUUUCCAUUCCUGCUGAGAUUCUCACCCCCACAGUGACGGUAUGAGGAGGGGCUCCUCGGGGAGUCAGUGAGGUCAUAAGGACAGGGCUCUCAUGAUGGGAUGAAGAAGACAAUGAAGACUUCCUCGUCUGCUCUCCGAAUGUGGGACACACAAAGAAGCUGGUGUCCACAACCCAGGAAGCAGGCGGCACAGAUACCAGCAUCCUGGCUUCAACAUUCCUUCCACAUGACACAAGAGUCCUGGGGCUGCUCCAGCUGCGAUUUCUGUUUUCCGAGUCUGUGGGGAAAAUAUUUGGAUGCACCUGCCCUACCAGAAGGAUGAUAAACUUUCCAAGUCUGCCACAAAUUGGGAGGAAAUGUGAUUGAAGUUGUCACGAUGAACCACUCUAAUCAAGUAAUAAUCACUCUAAAUCAUUUCCAGGAAAAUCUGCAAAGUGGUUUGGAUUUAAGUGCCAUGGCUCAAUCUGGGCUCCUUAUGAAGAAGGGCAAAGUCUCCAUUCCAACCAGUCUCAGGGACAGGGACAAUGUUAGAGGCGGCCCACCCCUGCUUCUACUCCCUGAUGCAAUAUCUGGCCAGUGAAUUUCAACAUCAUAAUAGAUGCUGGGAUCAGAUCCACAAACCCUAGACAAUGAAAGAAUGUUUUAAAUGUAGUUUUAUUCAUGCAUCUGAUGACAAUUAUUUUAAUGGUUCACACAAAACAAAAUAUAUUUCUUAUCAAAUCUCUGUCCUUCUCCAGAAUAUCUCUCAUUAGAAUUUAUGACUGUCUAGAGAUAAUGGCAUACUUAUUUUUCAGUUCUUGAUUUCCAUACAAAAGGGCUAUUUUUUUUUCCUUCCUUUGUCCACCCCUAAGCACGUUGCCUACCUUGGGUGUUAAAAAAUCACCUUUCUUAAUACUGGAAAAUAGGGAUUAAAUGACUAACUUGUAGGUGGCCACCCAAAACACACAGCCAAGCUUGCCAAAGGAAACAAUUCACAGCUGAGCACCAUACUCUGAACCACACUGACGAACUUGAAAGAUAGGUUUUCUUUAAAACCAAAUCCCAGUACUGAUUUUGUUAUGAAACCAAUUGAAAAGCGCAGGACCACCGUUAACUUCGUGAUAUUACGGUUUGAGGUUAGUAUCUGUACAGCUUGACAUGCAAGCUAAGCUAUUCAAACUUCUAGGAGCUUUUCUUUUGCUAGCCUCCGAUGAAAGGGGGGCGGGGAAGAGAAUCGAGUGUUUUUAGCUCCACCAUGAAGAUCUGAAAAAUGGACAUCCUUUCAGAAACGACCUUGAGACACUCUACCGAUUAAUUCACUCCGUUUGUUUUAGCAUUCCUAU
rnacentral:lncRNA from 1 species